CCUACGGGGGGCAGCAGUGAGGAAUAUUGGUCAAUGGGCGGAAGCCUGAACCAGCCAAGUAGCGUGCAGGAUGACGGCCCUACGGGUUGUAAACUGCUUUUAUACGGGAAUAACGCGCCUUACGUGUAGGGCUUUGCAUGUACCGUAUGAAUAAGGACCGGCUAAUUCCGUGCGAGCGGCCGCGGUAAUCCGGAGGGUCCGGGCGUUAUCCGGAUGUAUUGGGUUUAAAGGGAGCGUAGGCCGCAUGUCAAGCGUGCUGUGAAAGGUCCGGGCUCAACCCGGGCCUUGCAGGGCGGACUGGCGUGCUUGAGUGCGCGGAAAGCAGGCGGAAUUCGUGGUGUAGCGGUGAAAUGCUUAGAUAUGACGAAGAACCCCGAUUGCGAAGGCAGCUUGCUGCAGCGGAACUGACGCUGAUGCUCGAAAGCGCGGGUAUCGAACAGGAUUAGAUACCCGGGUAGUC
rnacentral:rRNA from 1 species